rnacentral:rRNA from 1 species
AUUGAACGCUGGCGGCAGGCUUAACACAUGCAAGUCGAGCGAGCGGCGGACGGGUGAGUAAUGUAUGGGAAACUGCCUGAUGGAGGGGGAUAACUACUGGAAACGGUAGAUAAUACCGCAUAACAUCAGAUGUGCCCAGAGUGGAUUAGCUAGUAGGUGGGGUAAGGGCUCACCUAGGCGACGAUCCCCAGCUGGUCUGAGAGGAUGACCAGCCACACUGGAACGGAGACACGGUCCAGACUCCUACGGGAUGCAGCAGGGGGGAAUAUUGCACAAUGGGCGCAAGCCUGAGGCAGCAAUGCCGCGUGUGUGAAGAAGGCCUUCGGGUUGUAAAGCACUUUCAGCGAGGAGGCGUUACUCGCAGAAGAAGCACCGGCUAACUCCGUGCCAGCGGCCGCGGUAAUUC